UUAUUGUGUACUUAGUUUGUUGUCUUCCAUUUUUAAGUUAAGGAAAUAAAAUAAAUUAUUGUCUAUAUUUAAAAAAAAUUAAAUUGUUAAGUGUUUAUUGUUUUAAUUUAAUUUAAAACAAUAAUUGUAAUUUUAUGUAAAUAAUAAAAACAAAAAUAUAAAAUUAAAUAAAAAUAUGAAAUAAAAAAGUGGUGGGGUAGGGUGAGUGGUGGGGUAGGGUGUUGAAUGAAAAUCAUUGGAGUGGGUAAUUGUUGAGAGAGUGUUGAAUUGGAGAGAGAAGAUGAUGUG
rnacentral:lncRNA from 1 species